rnacentral:rRNA from 1 species
UGCGUAGGCGGCAUUGUAAGUCAGAUGUGAAAGCCCACCGCUUAACGGUGGAACUGCAUUUGAUACUGCAAAGCUUGAAUCAGGCUGAGGUCAGCGGAAUGUGUCAUGUAGCGGUGAAAUGCAUAGAUAUGACAUAGAACACCAAUUGCGAAGGCAGCUGGCUAGACCUGUAUUGACGCUGAGGCACGAAAGCGUGGGGAGCGAACAGGAUUAGAUACCCUGGUAGUCC